UAUGGCCAGAUCACGUUGAAACACCGAUUCCCGUACGAUCACUGAAGUUAAGCAACGUCGAGCCUGGUUAGUACCUAGAUGGGUGACCGCUUGAGAAUACCAGACGCUGUA